rnacentral:rRNA from 1 species
GAUGAACGCUGGCGGCGUGCCUAAUACAUGCAAGUCGAGCGAACAGACGAGGAGCUUGCUCCUCUGACGUUAGCGGCGGACGGGUGAGUAACACGUGGAUAACCUACCUAUAAGACUGGGAUAACUUCGGGAAACCGGAGCUAAUACCGGAUAAUAUAUUGAACCGCAUGGUUCAAUAGUGAAAGACGGUUUUGCUGUCACUUAUAGAUGGAUCCGCGCCGCAUUAGCUAGUUGAUAAGGUAACGGCUUACCAAGGCAACGAUGCGUAGCCGACCUGAGAGGGUGAUCGGCCACACUGGAACUGAGACACGGUCCAGACUCCUACGGGAGGCAGCAGUAGGGAAUCUUCCGCAAUGGGCGAAAGCCUGACGGAGCAACGCCGCGUGAGUGAUGAAGGUCUUCGGAUCGUAAAACUCUGUUAUUAGGGAAGAACAAAUGUGUAAGUAACUAUGCACGUCUUGACGGUACCUAAUCAGAAAGCCGCGGCUAACUACGUG